rnacentral:tRNA from 1 species
CAUUAAAUGACUGAAGAGUAAGUUUUGAUUUUUUAAAUCAGGUUAUAGUAUAAUAACGCAUACUUUUAAUGA